UUUAAGUGCAUUUUUGCCUAAUUUUAAUCGUUCGUUUUAUUUAAAAUCUUUUUUAUAACUAGUACUUUUUUAUUGUUAUGAGAUGAUAAAACAUGAAUAAUACUUUAUGCGUGACUUAUGUUUUUAAUUUCUUUUAGAAAAACUUUCAAAUAAAACGGACGAUCAAAAUUGAGUACGGAAAAAUAUGGAUGCACUUAAA
rfam:Oryza glaberrima chromosome 7 Oglab07_0141_28, whole genome shotgun sequence.